AAGACUAUACUUUCAGGGAUCAUUUCUAUAGUUUGUUGCUAGAGCAAAUAUUAAAUAAAUUCAAACAUAGCAAUAGACAAGUUGC
ensembl:snoRNA U3 Small nucleolar RNA U3